rnacentral:rRNA from 1 species
GACGAACGCUGGCGGCGUGCCUAAUACAUGCAAGUAGGACGCAGUUGCGAACGGGGGAGUAACGCGUAGGUAACUACCUAUUAGAGGGGGAUAACUAGUGGCAACGAUAGCUAAUACCGCAUACUAGUAGAUGGACCUGCGUUGUAUUAGCGAGUAGGUAGGGUAAUGGCCGACCUAAGCAACGAUACAUAGACGACCGUGGAGGGGGUACGGCCACAUUGGGACUGGGACACGGGCCAGACUCCUACGGGAGGCAGCAGGAGGGAAUCUUUGGAAAUGGUGGGAACCCUGACCGAGCAACGCCGCGUGAGGGAAGAAGGUUUUCGGAUCGUAAAGCUCUGUUGUUAAGGAAGCGGUACUUAACCAGAAAGGGACGGCUAACUACGUGCCAGCAGCCGCGGUAAUAC